rnacentral:rRNA from 1 species
CAGCCGCCGCGGUAAUACAGAGGGUGCGAGCGUUAAUCGGAUUUACUGGGCGUAAAGAGCUCGUAGGCGGUUUGUCGCGUCGUCUGUGAAAUUCUGCAGCUUAACUGUAGGCGUGCAGGCGAUACGGGCAGACUUGAGUACUACAGGGGAGACUGGAAUUCCUGGUGUAGCGGUGAAAUGCGCAGAUAUCAGGAGGAACACCGGUGGCGAAGGCGGGUCUCUGGGUAGUAACUGACGCUGAGGAGCGAAAGCGUGGGUAGCGAACAGGAUUAGAUACCCCUGUAGUCCCUGUCUCUUAUAC